AGUCCUUACAGAGAGAGAGAGAGAGAGAGAGAGUCCAACUAUGGUGCUUGUAAAAGCACCAAGCAUUUAGUGCUUGUAAAUUUUUUACCGUUAGAUCUGCACUUUUGAUCAUUUUUACCCGUUAGAUUAUACUAUUCAACCAACCAUCCACCCACCCCUAGGGUCCCACAUCAUCCUAACUGCACAUCCUUUAAUCCAAGGGCUGAAAACUUACAAGUACCAAUGACUUGGUACUUUUAAAAGCAUAGAAGCUCAAUUAUAUAUAUAUAUAUAUAUAUAUAUAUAUAUAGAACCCUUUGUACUGAUAAAUUUUCGACCGUUGGAUGAAGGGAUGUACGAUUACGAUGAUAAUGGUCCCCGAUUAGGUUAAUAGUGGUCCCCUAUGGUUGAGUGGAUGGUUGGUUGAAUAGUAUGAUCUAACGAGUUGAAAUGAUCAAAAGAGUAGAUCUAACGGUCAAAAACUUAUGAGUACAAAAGGGACUAUACUCAUAAGAGUAUAGUAACCAGACUCUAUAUAUAUAUAUAUAUAUAUAUAUAUAUAUAGUCCGGCUACUAUGCUAUUAAUAGCACGAAACACUUGGUGCUACUAAGUUUUCCGCCGUUAGAUCUACCCUUUUGAUCAUUUUCAUCCGUUAGAUCAUACUAUUCAACUAACCACUCACUCAACUCUAGGGGUCCCACAUCAUCCUAACCACACAUCUCUGAAUUCAAUGGCCAAAAACUUGGUAGCACCAAUGACUUGGUGCUAUUAAUAGCAUAGUAGCCUAGUUCUAUAUAUAUAUAUAUAUAUAUAUACUUCCAUAAACAUAAAAAGUUGUCAUCAAUGUCCCUACCAUUAGUUGUGUUUGUUUUACUAUAGUUAUUAAAUGGAUAAAGAUAAACUAACUUUUAAAAUGACCAAUUUAUUCUUAACUAUCUCUUAA
rnacentral:lncRNA from 1 species